rnacentral:rRNA from 1 species
GAUGAACGCUGGCGGCGUGCCUAAUACAUGCAAGUCGAGCGAACAGACGAGGAGCUUGCUCCUCUGACGUUAGCGGCGGACGGGUGAGUAACACGUGGAUAACCUACCUAUAAGACUGGGAUAACUUCGGGAAACCGGAGCUAAUACCGGAUAAUAUAUUGAACCGCAUGGUUCAAUAGUGAAAGACGGUUUUGCUGUCACUUAUAGGUGGAUCCGCGCCGCAUUAGCUAGCUGGUAAGGUAACGGCUUACCAAGGCAACGAUGCGUAGCCGACCUGAGAGGGUGAUCGGCCACACUGGAACUGAGACACGGUCCAGACUCCUACGGGAGGCAGCAGUAGGGAAUCUUCCGCAAUGGGCGAAAGCCUGACGGAGCAACGCCGCGUGAGUGAUGAAGGUCUUCGGAUCGUAAAACUCUGUUAUUAGGGAAGAACAAAUGUGUAAGUAACUAUGCACGUCUUGACGGUACCUAAUCAGAAAGCCACGGCUAACUACGUG